rnacentral:rRNA from 1 species
CAAACGACUCUYGGCAACGGAUAUYUSGGCUCAMGCAUCGAUWAARAACGUAGCAAAAUGCGAUACUUGGUGUGAAUUGCAGAAUCCCGUGAACCAUCGAGUUUUUGAACGCAAGUUGCGCCCAAAGCCAUCCGGCUGAGGGCACGCCUGCCUGGGCGUCACGC